rnacentral:rRNA from 1 species
UUUUUAUUUUUUUUUCUUUAUAUAAUAUGAUUUUUUUCUUUCCUUUUGGAUCAGGAUAUUAUUUUUUUUUAAUGGUUUAUUUUUUCGAAAUUAUUUAAACUAAAAUUAAAUUUUUGUUUUAGUUACAUAUAGUUUUUUUAUUUAAUUUUAGUAGAUAUAUUUUUCAUAUAUAAAGAUAUCUAAUUUAAUCUUAUUCUAAUUAUUUAUUAUGUCUUUGGGGAAAUCUUUAAGUUUAAUUAAAUUUUUUUUUAUUUAUUUUUAAUUUAGGAUUAAUAUUUUCUUUUAUUUUUUAUUAUUGUAAAUUUUUAUUCUUAUUUUUAUUUUUAUUUCUAUUUUUUUAAUUUGAUUUUGUUUUUAAUUUUUUUUAUUUAAUUAUUUAAUUAUUAGUAUAUAUAUUUUUUUAUGUUUUUUUAUAAAAAAUUUAAUUAAAAUUACUUUUACAUUUUUUGCCUGUUUAUCAAAAACAUGUCUUUAAGUUUUUGUUUAAGGUCUUGCCUGCCCAAUGAUUUUUAAUGGCCGCAGUAUUUUGACUGUGCUAAGGUAGCAUAAUCAUUUGUUUUUUAAUUGAAAACUGGAAUGAAAGGUUUGACAAAUAAAUUAAGUUUCUUUUUGAGUCUUAUAAUUUUUUUUUUUAGUUAAAAAACUUAAUUUUUUUUGAGGGACGAUAAGACCCUAAAAUUUUUAUUUAUUUUAUUUAUUUUAUUUUAAAUUUCAUUGGGGCAAUGUUAAAUUUUAUUUUUUUUUUUAUUUUUUUGAUCCAUUUUUUGAUAUUUAGUUUUAAAUACUUUAGGGAUAACAGCAUAAUUUUUUUUUAUAGUUCUUAUUAGUGAAAAAGAUUUUGACCUCGAUGUUGGAUUAAAGAUUUUUUUGGGGUAGGUUUUAAAAAUUUAGGUCUGUUCGACCUUAUAGUCUUUACAUGAUCUGAGUUCAGACCGGCGUGAGCCAGGUCAGUUUCUAUCUUCAAUUUUUUUUUUUAUUUUAGUACGAAAGGACCAA